rnacentral:rRNA from 1 species
AUGAGCCGGAAGAAGACAUCGACAGCGCCAACUGCACCCUCAUCAAACCCAUCAUCAGUGUCACAGACUCCAAGUCCAAGGCCAACGAUGACGAUACUACUACUGGAGCCCGUCCUUGACCGGGAGAUCUACAACGUCGAGUACAGGCUGAACAAUGUCAGGAUCUACGAAACCAGCGUCAUCACCAUGGCCACCACGGCCGCCGUCAAUGACACCUCCAAGGAGAACAUCAAGACGCUCACUCUCGCCUACGAGGAGUCCGAGUUGAGCACCUGGGACGCCACCCUCGAGCUCAAGCUAGGGUACAAGUCCAGGCUCCGAGCCGGGUUCCCAAAGCUCGGCCUCGGUGCCACCGUCAACAUCUCCGCCGAGUUCUUCGGGGCCUACAACUGGGCCGAGACCAUGGAGAAGAAGGUGAGCCAUGAGGUUGAGUACGAGGUCACCGUGCCUCCCAAGACCAAGGUAACCGUCAGACUCAUCGCGACGAGGAGUGCCAUCGACGUCCCCUUCGACUACCAGCAGAGGGACGUCAUGUCCACCGACGGAAAAGCUCGGGUUGUUAGCAGGACGGAUGGCCUCUACACUGGCGUCAACAGCUACAACUUCAAGUUCCAGACCACGGAGGAGAAGCUCAAGCCAAGGCUUUUGGCCACAACCCCUCCUUGA